rnacentral:rRNA from 1 species
GGGCCCGCACAAGCGGUGGAGCAUGUGGUUUAAUUCGAUGAUACGCGAGGAACCUUACCAGGGCUUAAAUGCAGAAUGACAGAUUGGGAAACCAGUCCUUCUUCGGACAUUUUGCAAGGUGCUGCAUGGUUGUCGUCAGCUCGUGCCGUGAGGUGUCAGGUUAAGUCCUAUAACGAGCGCAACCCCUAUUCUUAGUUGCCAGCGGGUAAUGCCGGGAACUCUAAGGAGACUGCCAGCGCAAGCUGCGAGGAAGGUGGGGAUGACGUCAAAUCAUCACGGCCCUUACGUCCUGGCUACACACGUGCUACAAUGGAUGGUACAAUGGGCAGCCACUACGCGAGUAGGAG